GAAAUGCGAUACGCAAUGCGAAUUGCAGAAUUCCGCGAGUCAUCAGAUCUUUGAACGCAAACUGCGCCGAAGGGAUAUAUCUCUGCGGCAUGUUUGUUUCAGUGUGUUUGUAGAAUUCACAGACCUCAAUGCGAUUGAGGCGAUUUAAACCGCCUCUCUCGUGAAAAGGGAUGCGCUUGGCCGCCAAGCUCCUUGUAGCGGUCACUUCACAGUGAUGUACAUCGAGCGCAAUUGGGGGCCUCUUUCGCGCAACACUUUCUUCAAUCAGCACCUGAAAUCAAGCAAGAGCACCCGCUGAACUUAA
rnacentral:misc_RNA from 1 species